rnacentral:rRNA from 1 species
GUGAGGAAUAUUGGUCAAUGGUCGGGAGACUGAACCAGCCAAGCCGCGUGAGGGAAGAAGGUACAGCGUAUCGUAAACCUCUUUUGCCGGGGAACAAGAGCUUCCACGAGUGGGAGUGUGAGCGUACCCGGAGAAAAAGCAUCGGCUAACUCCGUGCCAGCAGCCGCGGUAAUACGGAGGAUGCGAGCGUUAUCCGGAUUUAUUGGGUUUAAAGGGUGCGUAGGCGGCGAGUUAAGUCAGCGGUAAAAGCCCGGGGCUCAACCCCGGCCCGCCGUUGAAACUGGCUGGCUUGAGUUGGGGAAAGGCAGGCGGAAUGCGCGGUGUAGCGGUGAAAUGCAUAGAUAUCGCGCAGAACCCCGAUUGCGAAGGCAGCCUGCCGGCCCCACACUGACGCUGAGGCACGAAAGCGUGGGUAUCGAACAGG